UACGGAGGGGACUAGCGUUGUUCGGAAUUACUGGGCGUAAAGCGCACGUAGGCGGAUUUGUAAGUCAGGGGUGAAAUCCCGGAGCUCAACUCGGGAACUGCGUCCGAUACUGGCGGGCUUGAAUCCGGGAGAGGGCCGCGGAAUUCCCAGUGUAGAGGUGAAAUUCGUAGAUAUUGGGAAGAACACCGGUGGCGAAGGCGGCGGCCUGGCCCGUUACUGGACGCGAGCGCGACAGCGGUGGGGAGCAAACAGG
rnacentral:rRNA from 1 species